ACGGAAAGCCGGAUGGCCGCGGGUGCCCGACCUGGUCGGGGAUCCGAGGAAAGUCCGGACUCCACAGGGCAACGGUGCCGGGUAACGCCCGGCGGGGGUAACCCCAGGGACAGCGCCACAGAGAACAGACCGCCAUGGUCCGCCAUGGUCAGGGUGAAACGGUGCGGUAAGAGCGCACCGCGGGACGGGCAACCGGACCGGCAGGGCAAGCCCCACUGGGAGCAAUGCCGAAUAGGAACCUCGCGCGGGCAACCGCAGGGCCGCCCUGGCCCGGAGGUUCGGGUUGGCAGCUAGAGGCGCGCGGGCAACCGCGCGUUCAGAUGAAUGGUCAUCGAACCGGCGCAAGCCGGGGAACAGAAUCCGGCUUACAGGCUUUCCGUGCAU
rnacentral:RNase_P_RNA from 1 species